UUUACUUGGAAAUUUACUUUUAACUUCUUCAAACUUCGACCCUCUUGACAUUCCCUAAAAAAUCCCUGCAUUUAGGUAGGGUUUCUUUGGAAUAUCUGUGGUUUCAUAUAUCAUUGUCUGUUGAUUUGUUUUCUUCUAACUGCCUACGUUUGGAAACGCAUUUUUGGUAUUACUCCCCACCCCCCCAUAAAGCUUAUUUGGCUGAUGAUUGUGUGACGAUGUCAACGGUGAUGGUAAUGCUGCUGCUGAUGAUGAUGGUAAAAAAUAAUACACCUCACUCCAAACCAUGUGUGAGGUCCUUGCCUGCGACCUCAACGCGCCUGGACUUGGGUCGACGAACAACACUUUGUCUUUGGCAGUGCCAGAUACUGCCACACAAGUUGAGGUGUUGAUGUUGCUGGCCAAAAACCAUUAAAAUGUGUCGGUUCGUAUUCGAGUGCACAAAAAAA
rnacentral:sRNA from 1 species